rnacentral:rRNA from 1 species
AUUGAACGCUGGCGGAAUGCUUUACACAUGCAAGUCGAACGGUAGAGGGGGCAACCCCUCGAGAGUGGCGAACGGGUGAGUAAUAUAUCGGAACGUGCCCAGUCGUGGGGGAUAACGUAGCGAAAGUUACGCUAAUACCGCAUACGAUCUACGGAUGAAAGCGGGGGAUCGCAAGACCUCGCGCGAUUGGAGCGGCCGAUAUCAGAUUAGGUAGUUGGUGGGGUAAAGGCUCACCAAGCCAACGAUCUGUAGCUGGUCUGAGAGGACGACCAGUCGCACUGGAACUGAGACACGGUCCAGACUCCUACGGGAGGCAGCAGUGGGGAAUUUUGGACAAUGGACGCAAGUCUGAUUCAGCCAUUCCGCGUGCAGGAUGAAGGCCCUCGGGUUGUAAACUGCUUUUGUACGGAACGAAAAGGUUUCCAUUAAUACUGGGAGCUCAUGACGGUACCGUAAGAAUAAGCACCGGCUAACUACGUGCCAGCCGCCGCCGUAA